rnacentral:rRNA from 1 species
AUGCACGCUGACAGAAUGCUUAACACAUGCAAGUCUUUGGCGAAGCUGUGCUUGCACAGCCUAGCCAAGGCGGACGGGUGAGUAACGCGUAAGGAACUUGCCCUGCAGUCAGGGAUAACAGACGGAAACGACUGAUAAGACCUGGUAAAGUCAGGCGGACUCAUGUCCAGCCUGAUGAAAAGAGAUGCUGCAGGAGAGCCUUGCGUCCUAUUAGCUUGUUGGUGGGGUAACGGCCCACCAAGGCGAUGAUAGGUAGCCGGCCUGAGGGGGUGGACGGCCACAAGGGGACUGAGAUACGGCCCUUACUCCUACGGGAGGCAGCAGUGGGGAAUAUUGGACAAUGGGGGCAACCCUGAUCCAGCAAUUCUGUGUGCACGAUGAAGGUUUUCGGAUUGUAAAGUGCUUUCAGCAGGGAAGAAAAAAUGACGGUACCUGCAGAAGAAGCGACGGCUAAAUACGUG